rnacentral:rRNA from 1 species
GACGAACGCUGGCGGCGUGCCUAACACAUGCAAGUCGAACGGAACUGCCGGGGUUAUUGGCGGUGGGGGGGGGAACACGGGGGAAGGUGCCCGUAGGUACGCUAUCCCUCAGGGAAGGAUGAGCUAAUACAAAAGGUGCCCAUCGGGGGAAAGAUUACUCGCCUCUGGAGCGGCCUGCGCCUGUUUCGCUGGUUGGGUGAGGUAAUGGCUCACCAAGGCUACGUUCAGUAGUUGGUCUGAGAGGAUGAUCAGCCAGAUUGGGACUGAGACACGGCCCAAACUCCUACGGGAGGCAGCAGUGGGGAAUCUUGCGCAAUGGGCGAAAGCCUGACGCAGCCAUGCCGCGUGAAUGAUGAAGGUCUUAGGAUUGUAAAAUUCUUUGACCGGGGACGAUAAUGACGGUACCCGGUGAAGAAGCCCCGGCUAACUUCGUG